CGUUUCGCAGACGCUGACGCCGACGCUGCCGCUGCCGCAGAUUAUUGUUCGUUUAGAAGACGCAAGAAGUUGAGAUCGACGCCGACGCUGCCGCAGGAAGCAGAUUUUUGGGUUGUUCGUUUGACAGACGCAGCGGCUAUUUUCAUUUUUUCAGAUUUAUUUUAAUUUUUUUAUAAAAUUGUAUUUAAAUAAAUCAAGUGUAGUUUAAAUAUAUUUACAUCCAUUAAAAUAUUAUGUUUACUUGAUAAUAAUUUUUUGGUCAAUUAUACAAAUGUAAAUUAUACAAAUGUAACAAUUUUUUUUCAUACAUCAUAAGCUAAAUUAGAAACAAAAUAAUAAUUCAAAAUAUUUAUCAUAAACAAAAGCUAAAUAUUACAUCAAGUCUUAAAUAAAUAUCACAUUUAAAUGACAAUCAAAGUUAUAAGCAAAAAAAAAAUUAAAUCAUCAACUAAAACAUUUAAUACGGUAAACGACCUCUACCAUAUUCAUUUGUGAUGUUAUCACGCAAAUCUUCCAUCGCUCUAUCACCUGUCGGCUCAUAUACAAUAUGUCCACCACCACCACCUCCAACACCAACAUCAUCUUCAUCAUCAUCAUCAUCGUCACCUUCUUCUUCAUCACCGUCACUAUCAGCUUCUCCUUCUCCAUCAUCACCAUUUUAUCUCUCUUGCACUAACUGGUGGUCCUCCUGUAGCAAACUGACUAAGAUGAUAUCGCAUAUUACGAUGCGGACCAAGAUACCCUGUCCUGGUCGGAUAUCCGGAGUCAACUAAAUAAUACUUUCCGGGAGGAGGAUGUGGAAAAGAAGCCUCGUUUCUCGCACAAUGAGUCAAGACUUUGGUAUCAUGUGCUCUACCAGGUACACCGACAUAUGCAUAUAUGAACUUCAUAUCGAAGUUACAUAUAGCAACCCUUUAAGCUUCCCCAUGAGUGCAGACUCGUAAACCAAUACGUACUAACUACAAUAGGAUGUUUUUGUAGCCUGCACUUUAAAUUUAGAAACCCCAAAAGCUACACUCAGAAGACAACCCAUCGUUUAUAUUAAAAGAACAGACCAGCAAUGGAACCAUGAAGGCAAAGAAAGGGAGUUACAGCUAGGCCUAUUUCACUAUGAUUCCUAGUUACAGCAAUGGAAUCAAACAAUCAUCAGAGAUUCAAUAAUCAGAAUGUUGAAACUCUAUUUCACUAGCAUCAAACGUACCUCAACGAGAAAAGGAGAAGAGAGAGCUUGGAGAUGAGAUGAGCUCGGAGAAGAAAGCUUCGAGAUGAGAUCGGAGAUGGGUUUUCUUCGGAGAAGAGAGACAGCCCGAGAUGGAGACAGAUCGUGACGGAGAGAGAGCCAGAGAGCCUGAGAUGGAGACAGCUCGUGACGGAGAGAGAGCCCGAGAUGAAGAGAGCUCGAGAUGGAGAGAGAGAGAGGGAGCUCGAGAUAGAGAGAGAGCUUGAGAUGGAGAGAGCACGAGAUGGAGAGAGCUCUCGAGGUCUUCACUGGUUCUAGAAUGGAGAUCGAGAGAGAAAGAUAGAGAUGGAGCUGCGUCAAACUUUCCCCGACUGCGUCAAAUUUAGGUUUUAUGUCGCGACCGCUGGUUUUAUCGGCGUCAGCCGCAGGACGCGGCGUUCGAACGCAGCGUCAGACGCAGCUGCCUGCGUCAACGAAACGAACAAGAGUUGACGCCGAAUGUUGACGCUGCCGCUGCCGCCGGUACCUGCGGCAACCAAACGAACAGCACCAUCGUCUCAAGCUGCACCAAGUAGAAAGGGGUGAUCAAUUCUGUGAGAACCGGAGUAAUGGCCCAAUUCAAGAAUAGCUUUGUGGCUGCUACGCCAUCAAACCAAGCUUAUCCGAACAAGAGACCCGCCCUAACGGGAUUUGUCUCAGGUGGGGCCAUUGGUGGGGACAUGGGUAGAGCUCAAACUCAAACUCCCCCAGUAGCAACUAGUCAUCACUCGAGUCAAAAGAAUACACAGAGUUCUGAAGAUCGGCCAAGAGAGAGGAAAAGGAGAUCUGGUUGGGAUAGUUGAUUUCAAGUGUUUUUUACAGUAUCCUCCUUGUAUCAUCAUGUGUAAAAAACAUUAGCGAUACCUUUUUGUUUUAGCUCUCGAAUAUCUUUUAAAUGUCACACGUGUUGUUUACUAGCUAC